GUAAAGGCUCACCAAGGCGACGAUCCGUAACUGGUCUGAGAGGAUGAUCAGUCACACUGGAACUGAGACACGGUCCAGACUCCUACGGGAGGCAGCAGUGGGGAAUAUUGGACAAUGGGCGAAAGCCUGAUCCAGCCAUGCCGCGUGUGUGAAGAAGGUCUUCGGAUUGUAAAGCACUUUAAGUUGGGAGGAAGGGCAGUAAGUUAAUACCUUGCUGUUUUGACGUUACCAACAGAAUAAGCACCGGCUAACUUCGUGCCAGCAGCCGCGGUAAUACGAAGGGUGCAAGCGUUAAUCGGAAUUACUGGGCGUAAAGCGCGCGUAGGUGGUUCGUUAAGUUGGAUGUGAAAGCCCCGGGCUCAACCUGGGAACUGCAUCCAAAACUGGCGAGCUAGAGUAUGGCAGAGGGUGGUGGAAUUUCCUGUGUAGCGGUGAAAUGCGUAGAUAUAGGAAGGAACACCAGUGGCGAAGGCGACCACCUGGGCUAAUACUGACACUGAGGUGCGAAAGCGUGGGGAGCAA
rnacentral:rRNA from 1 species